rnacentral:rRNA from 1 species
UGGGGAAUAUUGCACAAUGGACGGAAGUCUGAUGCAGCAACGCCGCGUGCGGGAUGACGGCCUUCGGGUUGUAAACCGCUUUUUCUCAUGACGAAGUUUUUUGACGGUAGUGGGGGAAGAAGCACCGGCUAACUACGUGCCAGCAGCCGCGGUGAUACGUAGGGUGCGAGCGUUGUCCGGGAUUAUUGGGCGUAAAGAGCUUGUAGGCGGUUUGUCGCGUCGAUAGUGCAAACUCAGUGCUUAACGCUGAGCCUGCUGUUGAUACGGGCAGACUAGAGGAAGGUAGGGGAGAAUGGAAUUCCCGGUGGAGCGGUGGAAUGCGCAGAUAUCGGGAGGAACACCAGUGGCGAAGGCGGUUCUCUGGACCUUUCCUGACGCUGAGAAGCGAAAGCGUGGGUAGCAAACAGG